AGGACUUUUUCUUCUCUCUUGGACCAUGUUCUUUCUGCCUAGGAUGAUAGUGUUUACCUGAUGAAUACCUAUUCAUCUUUUAAGACGUCCUUUGUGAAAUGUUUUCUGGCAGCCUCUGUACAUACAGAAAAUUCAUCUGACCUUCUCCAGUGCUUCUUCUGACGCUUUCUAUAAACAUCCAUUACAGUUCUUACAUUGACACUUUCUAUAAACAUCUAUUACAGCACUUAUACUGUGAUCAUUGCUGAUUGUCCGAUGGAGUGUGUAUUCUUUCAGAGUAAUAACUGAAUAUUACUCUACCGUCUAUAUUCCCGCCUCUCCUACAUUUCCAGUUCUCCUCUUUAAAAAAAAGUAAAUCCCUUACUGGCACAUGCAAGUCUAAGACUCAGUCACCCAUCAUCUGUACCCUCUUUGUCCUCUUCUUAGAGCUUAUUAGGAAUAUAUUAUUGGCUUCCAAUAGUCUAUUAGAUUAGAAUAUUGGAAUAGUUAAUUAUUGCUAAUUAAUUAAUUAAUAGUUAAUUAAUCUGUUGGAAUAUGAGACCUGCCUGACUAACAUUUACACUUGGGCUAUGAUUGUAGCUCAGAACAGAACAUUUGUAUCUAUGCUUUAUGAGUUAUUUCCUAUGCUCGUUAAGAAAUGGCUCUUAUAUGAUGAGUCAAAGACCUGGACAACCCCAUUCAUCUGGUCCAUUACUAGGGUUUCCACAUCACAUGGGAAACACAUGGAAGGUAGCAUAUAAAAGCCAGGCUUCGUCGCAUGCUAAGCGCUAAAACAUGAAGUCUAUGUUUGGGAGGAGAGAUCAUUGUUUUGAACAGGAAUUAAGAGUUGGUUUUGCUAGGAAAUGUCUGUCAAAAUACCAUUAUACUUUAUACAGAGUGCAGUGGUAGAAAUAAUUCAAGUACUGACUUGUGGUUUUGCUGGCAGGAAAAUGUCUCUGUAGCCUGCUAAGAGAAGGUUUUCCUGCUGUCCAUGCUGAACUUACAUACUUCUGCCUGUUGCUCAGGUUAACACACCCCGAGGGUCCGUAUGGCAGUGCAGCCACAUCAACAACCAACCCAGAGUUUGUGGAGGAUCUCUCCCAAGGCCAGCUGCUUCAGAGUGAGGCUUCCAAUGCUGUAGAAGGCAAUGAGCAAAGGCCUGAAGAUGAGGUAAGUGAACAUCUCCUGUCACUGUCCACUGCGGCUUCCAAAGCAAUGGGCAUGCAAGGAGGUAUUGAGUGAAGCGAUUGCCGGCUCAUGCUUUCGUUUCCUGGGCUGAGACUUGCCCAGCUUUCUCAUACGUAUCUCUUGCCAUAUCUAGAGCCAUAUCAGUGGUUUUAAUGACACAGAGACAAAUAUAAUCUUUUACCCUUGGUCUGACUAAAUGUAGCUACCUCCUAUAAUGUUCAGCAGGGCUCGGGGAGUUGUUUUGUUGUGUUGUUGGCGGGUUGUGUUUUUUAUUGUUGUUAUUGCUGUUUUGAUAUAGGGUCUCAGGUAACUCAAGCUGCUAGAAUUGCAGAUGUGCUCACCAUGCUCAGUCGUGACAAAUAUUAGUUUUGUGAGUGAAUGGUUUAAUUAAGUAACUACUAAGACGUCUUUGUACCCUUGUUCAUGGCUGCACUCUGUUCACAAGCCCUGCAACACAAAGUCACAAGUGCCAGAUCACUUAAUGACUCCUUCUCCCUCCCAUAGGGUCCAUCUUUCCCCAAAUCAUACAGAAACUCAGUAUGGGCAGGGGAAGUCCUGUCCUUCUUGGGCCUUCAGUUAUAGAUGACUUCAUUACAAAUGACUGAUCACAUUCCACUCUUCUAUUUUAAGACAAGAAAGAACAACAUCAUCAAUGUUUGUCUUUUCUCUUGUGUGAAAAGACUAGUUUGUUCACUUACCCUAUCAGUGUUUUUAAAGAUAAUAAUGAAUGCUAGUAGCUUUUCCUUGACUUAUGUGUUCGUGUGGGUGUAUAAUGCUAGGGAUUUAUGCUAAGCACAUUUGCACUGAGCCACAUCCCUAGGCUCCUUAGUAGCUUCAUGUUCCUAGGCUUCCAAAAAGUAAAAGAAAAAAACUGGAAACAGUCUCUAGUAUACUAUUUACCAGAUGCAGGUCUGUCACCAUUCACAUAUAUUUGGAGGAGUACAGUACUACAGUUAAUACAUAGAUGCAUUUGUCCCUUUUUGAAUCUUGUUCACCUUUUUUUUCCCCUGAAAUAAGAAUUCCUGUAUCCAUGAUGCAUUAACUGAUAGACUAUACAUUUGUUAAAUUAUGGAACAAAAAUAUGAUGUGCCUCAUUUAGAAGGCAAGAAGAAAGACUGUGGUAAAAUAUUAGUGACACCACAGGGGUUUUUUGUUUUGCUUGGAUGGUUUUUGGUUUGGGGGUUUGGUUUGGUUUGGUUUCGUUUGGUUUUGGAGACAGGGUUGCUCUGUGUGGCUCAGCUGUCCUAGAACUCACUAUGUUGACCAGUCUAUCCUCAAACUCAGAUAUGACUGCCUCUGCCAAGUGCUAGAACUGAAAGCAUGUGCCACCAUAGCUAGCUGACACUGCAGUUUUUAAAAAAUAUUAAAUGUUGAUUUGAUCUGCUUUAUCUAAACCCAGUAUAUAAAGACUUCUAUCUCAAAA
rnacentral:lncRNA from 1 species